UUUUUAAUAGUUUAAUAGGUAAAACAUUCGGCUGUUAACCGAAAGACCAUUGGUUCGAGUCCAGUUUAAAAAG